CUGUUCCCGACACCUCUCCUGGGCGUCCUGGGGCUGGCCUAUCCGAGGCACGGUGUCUCUCUGGGCCGGAGCAGCGCGGGGCAGGCGGGGGUCUCCACUGUGAGAGCCAUUGAACAGUCUGUGCAGAGCCUGGAAUGCCCUUCUGAAGUGGGAUGACUGUUGCCAGCAAAGAGCACACUGCUUGCUGAGGGCAUAGGCUUCCAUCUGGCAAGGCAAAGCUUGGAAUGGUCCCAUCACCAACUCUGGACUUCACUGCAGCCCCAGACCCUCCAGCUAUCACUCAGCCUAGGAUAUUGCCAGCAUCCACCAACAGUCCUGGACCUGCCCGGCUUCUGUCAUGCAACCCUGGACCCUGGUGCUUCUUUCAGCUCCCUUUAGCUCCCAUCAGGACCCAGUCAGCUCCCAUCACCCAUCUCUGGACCCAGCAGGCGCCUAGGCCCCAGCCCUUAGCUCCCAGGCACUCCAAAUGUCCCAGCAUCCUCAGCACCAGAAACCUCACACAUGCAGUGUUCUGAAUCGUGCCUCAGUCUUCAUGAGCGGAAUGAUGCCCUACUCCACAGUCCAUGGAGUGCCAUCUAAUGCACCCCACACUGCAUGCAUUGCAGUGCAGAGAUGCAUUAGAAAAUGCCUCUACCACUGCAGAAACCUCAGACACACCUACUACUCAACCUGGGCACACCGCCAGUCCAACACUCCUGCCACCCACUGAGUCUCCUACUCACCCUGGAAGCUCCACAAUUCCUAUUUUGGGACACCCCCCAUGCUCUUCCCUGUCUGCUCCUGAACUUUAAUCCUUGCCCAUAGCGCUUAAACAGAAUUGGGGUGACAGCUGCUGGUGGGAUACCCCACACCUGGCCUUGUGGCUGAGCUCCCAUCAGUUGAUGAUGGAUCAAUAUGGAGUCACACUCCUGAAAAUUAAGUUAAACAAGGAAAUGGCUUUGAUGGCAUCGGAGGUGUGGAGGAUGUGGUGACUCGAGGGGAUACACUGAACCCAAAGGUCAUUGCUAGCCCCGGCAUAUGUCCCCUUGCUCUUAUAUGGCUCCCCUGGUCCCCUGUGUCUCCCCAAACUCAGCUGGCACCCCAUAUUUGAGCCACAUACAGACUUCCAAGCUUCACAGCCACUGUCAGUCCCAUAGGGUCCCCCUUGUAUGCUAUCAGAUCUCCCCGCAGCCCAUUGCAGUCCCUGAUGCCAUCCAUCCGCAUGUGGUGACAUGCAGAAUCACAAAAUAUUCUGAGUUGGAAGGAAUCCACAGAGGAUUGGUAUGUCAGUACCAUAACUGGUAUGCUAGUAAGAUUGGGGAUGAAAGGAUAUCUUCGUGCUCUUCCUUACCACCCACUGAGUCUGUUGCUGACUCUAUUGGCUGCUCUCAGAUGAUCACAGAGGAAUCCUUCCUGCUUGCCGCACUGCCUGCCCUGCCUAGGUGAACUGCUGUGCAAGCUGCCAUGCCAGGCCCUCACUGCCAUUCCAUGCCAUGCUCUGGGUUAUGCACUCCUGUUCACCUCACUUCAGGUCACUCGGACUUCCUGGAGCUGUUUAAAUUUCCCUCAGAUGCUCCUUGCACUGGCCCCUCCUCAUCUGGUGCCUGCUGAAGACUGCCAAGUCCUGGUGAGGCUUGGAGCUGAUGCUCAGGUGCUCCUGAGCUCAGAAACAACUCUAUUCAGCUCA